UACGGAGGGUGCGAGCGUUGUCCGGAAUCACUGGGCGUAAAGGGCGCGUAGGUGGUGGCUUAAGCGUGCGGUGAAAGCUCGGGGCUCAACCCCGAGUCGGCCGUGCGAACUGGGCUCACUGGAGCAUAGUAGAGGCAGGUGGAAUUCCGGGUGUAGCGGUGGAAUGCGUAGAGAUCCGGAAGAACACCGGUGGCGAAGGCGGCCUGCUGGGCUAUGGCUGACACUGAGGCGCGACAGCGUGGGGGAGCAAACAGGG
rnacentral:rRNA from 1 species